GUGCCAGCAGCCGCGGUAAUUCCAGCUCCAAGAGCAUAUAUUAAAGUUGUUGCAGUUAAAAAGCUCGUAGUUGAAUAUCUGGUAUAACGUACCUGGCCCGCAUCCUUUAGGCUUGUGUGUGCCGGCGCACGUUUGCCAUCUUUCUAAAAAACGGGUCUGCCAUUAACUUGGUGGGUUCGGGAUCUAUAUCAUUUACUUUGAAAAAAUUAGAGUGUUUAAAGCAAGCAAUUGCUCUGAAUACAUUAGCAUGGAAUAAUAAUCUAGGACUUCGGUUCUAUUUUGUUGGUUUCUAAAACUGAAGUAAUGAUUGAUAGGGACAGUUGGGGGUGCUAGUAUUGGCCGGCCAGAGGUGAAAUUCUUGGAUUCGGUCAAGACUAACUUAUGCGAAAGCAUUCACCAAGGAUGUCUUCUUUAAUCAAAAACGAAAGUUGGGGGAUCAAAAACGAUCAGAUACCGUCGUACUCUCAACCAUAAACUAUGCCAACUAGGGAUGGGUGAACGUUGCUUUUUCGACUUCAUCCGCACCUUAUGAGAAAUCAAAGUCUUUGGGUUCCGGGGAGAGUAUGGUCGCAAGGCUGAAACUUAAAGGAAUUGACGGAAGGGCACCACCAGGAGUGGAGCCUGCGGCUUAAUUUGACUCAACACGGAGAAAACUUACCAGGUCCGGACAUAGGUGAGGAUUGACAGAUUGAAGAUCUUUCUUGAUUCUAUGGGUUGUGUUGCCAUCGCCGUUCUUAGGUGGGGGGGAAAGGAAUUUGGUCUGGUUAAUUUCCGUUAAACGAACGACACCUCGACUGCUAAAUAGUGACUGAUCUUUGUGGGGGUGAGGAUUGACUUCUAGAGGGUACUUUUUUUGUGUAGCAAAGUACGUACGAAGCAAUAACAGGUCUGGCAUGCCUAAGAAUGUCGGCCGCACCGCGUUAACCUGAUCGUCAUCGACUACAGCUGGACCAAAAGGCG
rnacentral:rRNA from 1 species